ACUCAAAGGAAUAGACGGGGGCUCACACAAGCGGUGGAGCAUGUUGCUUAAUUCGAGGCAACGCGAAGAACCUUACCUGGGCUUGACAUGCAUGGAUUAACUCCUGGAAACAGGAGCCACGCCCGCAAGGGUGGAACAUGCACAGGUGCUGCAUGGCUGUCGUCAGCUCGUGCUGUGAAGUGUCGGGUUAAGUCCCUUAACGAGCGCAACCCCUGUCGUUAGUUGCUCGGCGCAAGCCAGUACUCUAGCGAGACUGCCGGUGUCAAACCGGAGGAAGGUGGGGAUGACGUCAAGUCCUCAUGGCCCUUACGUCCAGGGUUGCAAACGUGCUACAAUGGUGCAUACAGAGCGACGCGAGGCCGCGAGGCGGAGCAAAUCGCAAAAAAUGCACCCCAGUUCGGAUUGCAGGCUGCAACUCGCCUGCAUGAAGUCGGAAUCGCUAGUAAUCGGAGAUCAGCUACGCUCCGGUGAAUAAGUUCCUGAGCCUUGUACACACCGCCCGU
rnacentral:rRNA from 1 species